GAGAGAAGAGAGCUGGUACCUGAAGUCUGCUCCAUGGAGCACCUGGUCCUUCAAAAUCACCUGAAAAAAAGCAUGGGCUCUAGUACCACUACCAGAUUUGCCUGUCCCACGUCUUUACUGCAGUUAGCACGGAGCUCACUGCCUGUGCUGAUCUAAGCCCUCAGCUCCCCACUGGUUACAAGUCUAUGCAUGAUCAUCUCAGGAUCCUACUAUGGGUCUCUGACAUGAGCUAUCUGUCAGAAUUUCAGGACUUUUCUGUGAUUUCAUUUCAGAGGGAAAACUGACCAUGGGGGUUGCACACCUCUAAUGCAGCCUUCUUCACUUACAAGUAAUGGUUUUCUGAGCAGAAAAAAACAUAUCUUUGCUCAAAUCAGCAAGACCUCUUUUAGCCUGUGCCAAAAACUUAACUCACCAAAAUUCCCCUUCCUCCUUCUGAUCUUCCUGCCUUGUUCUCACAACUGACCUAGAAUCCCUCUAGAACUCCCCCUGGGAGCUCAUUUUCCAGCGCUCUCACAAACACCUGAACUGGCUUCUGUGUGUACACAUGUAUCUCUUCAGUUACGAUUCCCAAAUCAUCCAGAUCCCUCAAUUUUCUGAACGGACUUUCAUAAGCCUGUCUUAAAUGGGAGAUACGAGUGUCUGCUCUCAAAGUGGACUCAGAAGCAUAAGUUUUGAAAUCUAUUGAUAAGCUGCUCUUUAGGUAUCAUUUUAAUAGCUGACAAUACACAGAUGGCUAUUUGCUGCAUUAAUGAUAGUUGUGUUUAAGGCACAGUUAAUUUUAAUCAGAAAAUUGGUAUCAUUAUUCUGUACCUGCACGUGACCUGUCUUUUCACAGUGUAUUUCAGUAUUCUAAUCUGUUCAGAAGUACAUUCAAUAUUUAUGUCCAUUUCCAAUUCAAUGAAGUAGCUCUUUCCCAGUCAGCACUGAGGUUCACAGGUGCUGCUGUCUGGCUGUGUUUAAACCACAACAACAGGAAAGGGACAGAUCUUUGGAAAAUGAACCUAGCAACAGUAAUAACCUGAUGAUGCAUAAGAGGUUAAUUCCUGCUGAACAGUUAGUGUAAUUUACUUGUGUGUCAGACUAAAAUUAUGUUAAGGAACAGAACCCUAGGCAUCUCUGAAAAUGAAUGACAUUUCUGAAACAUUUGGGAGGAUGACCAAUUAAAAGCUUUUAACUGAAUUCAGAUUGUAGCAGCAAUUAUGUAGAUGUAGCCAGGACAGGACUAUGGAAUGAGGAUGCCUGAAUCUUGUGCUUUGGAGGGAGAUACUACCAGAAUUUUUUGUGUGCCCCCUUAAACUGUUAUAUCACAAAACGGAGACCAACAGAACUUUUAUAACCAUGGUUUCAUAUGUGGUCUUACAACCUGAAGCAACUUACUCUAAGAUAGUGCUAGAACUUGGCAAAAAAUAUAAAA